GUGGGCAAGCUACUAAGGGUUUAUGGUGGAUGCCUUGGCGCCAAGUGCCGAUGAAGGACGUGGGUCACUGCGAAAAGCCUCGGGGAGCCGUGAACAGGCGCCGAUCCGGGGAUGUCCGAAUGGGGAAACCCAACGAUGCGAACCAUCGUUAUCCUCUGCUGAACACAUAGGCAGAAGGAAGGGAACCUGGGGAACUGAAACAUCUAAGUACCCAGAGGAAAAGAGAGUAUUUCCCGAGUAGUGGCGAGCGAAAGGGAAGCAGCCCAAACCGUAUCAGCUUGCUGAUGCGGGGUUGUAGGGCCUGACACAUAGGAGUUACCAAGACAACGGUUAGUGGAAUGGUGUGGGAAAGCCAACCAAAGAAGGUGAGAGUCCCGUACGCGAAAAUUGUUGUCCUCCUGACAGGUACCUGAGUACUGCCGGGCACGCUAAUCCGGCAGGAAGCUGGGGGGUCCACCCUCCAAGGCUAAAUACACUUGGCGACCGAUAGUGAACAAGUACCGUGAGG
rnacentral:rRNA from 1 species